GACGAACGCUGGCGGCGUGCCUAAUACAUGCAAGUCGAACGCUGAAGGAGGAGCUUGCUCUUCUGGAUGAGUUGCGAACGGGUGAGUAACGCGUAGGUAACCUGCCUGGUAGCGGGGGAUAACUAUUGGAAACGAUAGCUAAUACCGCAUAAGAGUAGAUGUUGCAUGACAUUUACUUAAAAGGUGCAAUUGCAUCACUACCAGAUGGACCUGCGUUGUAUUAGCUAGUUGGUGGGGUAACGGCUUACCAAGGCGACGAUACAUAGCCGACCUGAGAGGGUGAUAGGCCACACUGGGACUGAGACACGGCCCAGACGCCUACGGGAGGCAGCAGUAGGGAAUCUUCGGCAAUGGACGGAAGUCUGACCGAGCAACGCCGAGUGAGUGAAGAAGGUUUUCGGAUCGUAAAGCUCUGUUGUAAGAGAAGAACGAGUGUGAGCGUGGAAAGUUCACACUGUGACGGUAUCUUAACAGAAAGGGACGGCUAACUACGUG
rnacentral:rRNA from 1 species